CCCACUGUCAAUUCUCAGAAUUACUCACUGAGCCAAUGGAGAUCUUUUCAGAAAAUCCUUGUCUGUGCCUGUAUCUUGAAAGGCUUUGGUUUUGUUUUCUUCUAGCAGUUUCAAAGUUUUAGGUCUCAUAUGGAGGUCUCAUAUGGAUAGUCUGAAGUGGUUUUUGUGCAAGUUGAUCUCCUUUGUAAGAUUCCGGAGGGCUAGGAAGAUGUCCCAGUGGGUGAGAUAUUGGAUGUGGAAGCAAAUUCGAAGAUGUCGGCUUAGAUCCCAGCACUCACGGAGAAAGCCACGUGUGGAGGACGCUCGGUAUUGCAGUUAAACCAGAUCAGCGUUUGUUCUCAGGUUCAUUUGCCGUAGUAAGGCCAACCUCGGUGAGUAUCUUUCCUGACAUGUGAGUAUCCUUCCUGAUAUCCAAAUGGUUAUCAGGAAGAUUAUCUAGAAAAUCAAAAGUUUUCCACUCUUGCUCACACCAGCCCCAUCUCUGGAACACCAACCCUCAGGGGGCAUUUCCUCUGCUGAUUUCAGAUGACUCCUUGGUUAGGGUAUGUUCCUCACAUGAGUGCAUGGACACACAUCUGGAGACUGAAUGAAGCUCUCUUGAGCUCUCUGUGGCCCUCGGUCCUGUUCUUCCUCUCUGGUCCUCUAUGAACCCUGGCCAGCAUCCUCUGGACUUCCUACUCUCUCACCAAUAGGGUUCUCUCCUCAGGGGUGAGCUCUAGCAACUUUCUCAAGGCAGGAGCAGAAAACAACUUAAGAACUUAGCACAUUUGUUUCUUAUCACACAUAGCUCACUGUCUUGGCUCUGUCCUCUCCCUUUCCUCUCUUCCUUUUCCUCCUCCUCCCUCUUCUUUCUCUUCCUCCUUCUCCCCUUCUUUCUUCUCUUUCCUCCCUUUUUUUUCUUUUCCUUUUUUCUGAACAGUAAUCCAAGUUCCCAUGCAUGCUAGCCAAGUGCGGUGCCACAGGUCUACCCAGCCAGAUCAUGGAUGCUCUUUCUACUCAUCUUUUAGACAGUUUGCCGUGUGGCCAUUCCUCACUCUUUCCCCACCUCUCUGCAAGAUCUCAUUCCAAAACUUCAAGCAAACCCAUAUGCUGAGUCUCAAAUUUCCAUUCUCAUCCCAGUCUAUCAUCCGAACUCCCACACUACCCACCCAAUGACUUACCAUCACAUUUUUCUAGAUAUUCCCACAAGCUGCUUGAACUCAACAUGCAGAAAUGGAAUAGCACCCCCUAUGCCUUCCUGGCCCACCUGACAUCUCGGUUUGUCACGUAAACCAUGGGUAGCUCUAUCUGCUUCCUUUCCUUUCCAGGAUGUUCACCGAGAUUGUGUUUCUGUCAUUGUUCACUACCAUGUAGAACAGCCUGUGGCAUAAGGAGGGUCUCAAUUAAUACAGUGAACACAUUGGUGCCAAAUAUAAGGGGGAUAAUCUGAGAGAGGGGAGGGAAACAGUUAAAAAUUAAUUAGUCUCGCUGCAUUGGAUUUGCCGUGUCCCUAAAAAGGGUGAAUCGGAAAGCACAGAAAGACAAGGAUGAGAGUUGGUUUUAUUUCUGGUGACUGUGAAGAACCUGGGGAUAAUCAGGAAGAGAAAACUGAGCAGAAAUAACGGAAGGAAGUUAGCUUUCUAGGCUCGUACAUACUUAACACUUGCCUCUUAGUAUGGUGUCUCAAUGAAGCACAUCUAUGGUUCCCUUCUGUGCUGAAUAUGUGCUCAUACCAAGUGCACUGCUUUUAGAAGUGUCUUUGAGUCACUUUAUACAAAGCUGUCCUUCUCAUCAAUCAUAUUAUAAAUUCUGACUGGGCUUAACAUGCCUAUUUUAUCCAUAGUUUGGGAGACCAGGAGCAAGAACUUUAUUUCUUUGUGGGCAUGUGUGUCGCCAAGACAGUGAUUGCGAGCCUUCCCUAAGGCGGUGCAUACAGAAAUAUUGUACGUGAAAAAAGCAGAGAUGUGGGGCAGACAUUGGGCUCUCAGUCUCGUCUGAUUCUGAGACACAUGUGUACCAUACUUCCAUCCACACACCGGUCCUGCUUGCAUUAUAUAGAAGAACUGUGCUGGUUCACGUUGGCAAGCCGACUUCAGCAUGCCUAAAGCUAUUUCCCAUGGAAAUCUUGGCCCAGCUCCUCUGGAUGCAAACUCGCUGGCGGAGCAUGCGUGUUUGAGUUUGGGGAGAGUUCCCAGCAUGCUCUACUUCUGUUCAAGGGAGCUGGACGGAACUAGGGCCCAGAGGAAACUGGAGAGCAGGCCAGGCAGGUGUGAAGGAUUCAACGGUGGCCACAAUGUGUGAAGAGGUAGGGAUGUUUGUACGCUCUUGCUAGGAAUGUAGAGCAGGACCACGCUGUUCAGUUAUUUUAAGAGUGUCUGUCAAAACCUAAUGUGAUUACAUCUUUUGUUCUAACAACUCCAGUUGUAGCUUCCAUACUCCCAUACUCAAAGCUACACACUCAAAGAUGCUCCAUUCAGCUGUGUGUGUGUGUGUGUGUGUGUGUGUGUGUGUGUGUGUGUGUGUGUGUGUGUUUAAUGUCAAAAUGUUGCAAACAAUCUAAAUCCCUAUUAGGGUGACAGAAAAAAAAUCUCAUGCCCUUAUCCUUAUGUCAAAAUACAAAAGAACGAGGAAGUCCUUUGUAUUGUGACAACGUUGGAAAGACGUUAUUGUGAGGCCAUAAAAAAUAAAUUAAAUAAACCACCAGGCUCUGUGUGCAAUGAGUUUCUGCUGGGCAGCACAUCACACUGUCUCAGUGCUGAGUAUGAGUGCCCAGAGAAGAAAAGGGAAUUUCAAAUUCCUGUGUUUGUUUUGAAAAAUAAAUGAAAGGAAAUGACAACAGGAAAACGAACCCUUCCAAAUCCCUGCUGAUGUUCUAGAAGCGAUGGGAGUUUGAGUCUUUGGAGAAUCAAUGCUUCUCAAUUCUGCCUUUAUCACAAAAAUCACUUGAGAGAUUUAAAAAAAAAUACACUUAGCUUAACUCAGCUUCUAUAAGAAGCAAAGCCUGUGGCAAGAAUUAAAAAGCUGGAACUUUAUUCGGGUGGUCCCAGCCCAGGAAAACAAAGAUAAGGAAUAAAGGAAGUGGGUAAGGGAAGAUGUGAUUAGACCUUAAUGGUUAUGUUUGCUAAUUGAGUGUCCAGCUUGGCGCAGGUUAGAGUCAUUUGAGCGAUAGGAACCUCAAAUGAGAAAACGCUUCCCUCCAUUAAAAUCAGGCUGCAGACAAGCCUAUAGGGUACUUUCUUAAUUAGUGAUUGAUGUGGGAGGGCCCAGCCCAUUGUGGGUGGGGCUAACCCUGGAGUGGUGGUCCUGGGUUCUAUAAGAAAGCAGUUGGAGCAAGCCAUGGAGAGCAGGCCAGUAAGCAGCACCCCUCCAUGGCUUCUGCAUCAGCUUCUGCCUCCGGGUUUCUGCUUUGGCUUCCUUCAAGGAAGGACUUGAUGUGGAAUAAUUAUAAACCAAAUAAACCCUUUCCACCCCAACUUGCUUUUGGCCCCUGGUGUUUCAUCACAGCAACAGUUAAACCUAAUUAAGGCACCUGCUGAACAUCACACAAAUUUGGAAGAGACAAAGCAAUUGCUUGACAGAGUUUCUGUAGUUGUUUGAGAAGCCACACCUCGGAGUAAUCCACAGAAAAGAGAAGGAUGGGGAACCUAGUUUCUUCCUGUCAUCUUUUCCUCCAUCAAGGUUCUUCUCAAGGUGAGUCGCCGCCCUGCACCACCCACUGUGUCUCUCAGAAAGGGGACUGAAUUCCUGAAGAUGUAGUAUUUCAUCAAAAUGUGGGUCGGGAGAUCCAUGCGUCUUCUUCCGGUUUGGUCUUCAGCUCUAGCUAGUUUGUGGUAGGAUAAAGUUGGAAGGGGUGGGAGAUCAGCAAGGGUCUAGCAAAGCCAAGAUCAUGGCCAGACAGCCAUGCAGAGCAUGCAAAAGGAUGAAGGAGGUCAAGGGAGACCAAGAAGAUUCACAAAGCUGUGCUCAUUGUAAGUCUGCCCCCGCUUCCUUCCUGAACAAUUAAAUCAGGAUGUCUGAGACUGGGCAUCAUUUGAAAGGCUCCUCAGAUUACACGGGUGUCCGGCCCAGGAGUGUGGGAGUCACUGCUUUUAGGUGUCUCCAAAAACAAACAUCUUGGUGCAAACUUCAUAUCAUAAUGUCCGUCUUUCUCCUAACUGGGAAAAAAAAAGCAAAGCUACUUAUUUAUAAGGAUAUAAUCAGAAGCUGCUGCACCCCUGAGCCUUAAAUUAUUUUGGGGCAAGCUCUGGAAGACGCAAGCAUUUUGUGACCUUGAUUUCUCACUACACAAAAGGCCACCGAAAUUCUUGAUGCAAAACAAUGAAAUUUUCCAUUAGGUUCCACUUAAGCAGCAAUUCUGCAAAGGGUAGGAGGAAACAGCAGGUUCCUCGGUCAGACUAAAUAGGUUUUGUUUGAAAAAGUAAUAAUCAGUUCACUGUCCUGGAUUUAGAGGGCACAUCCAUCCUCUGAACUAACAAUGUCAGAUUUUACUCUCGUCACAUAAAUUGUGCUCUAGCCGUGUGUAUCCAGAUGAAACCAAAACACGAAUAAAGAGACUCCUUGCGCUUUUCCUGGAAAUGCAUUUCCCAUUACACACCUUCAAUUUCCAUCUCUUGUGCUCCAUCUAUUGCGGACUGUUACAGGAAAAGGAGCAAGAAACAGCCUGGAAAAGAACUUAUUAUUGCAAGCAAAUGCAUCUUUCAUCUUGGCCCAGUAGUAUCUGAAUGCCUUGCCCCCUCAGCCUGUUUCACCACCCACAGGGUCUCUUUAGUCAGGUCAGCAAUUGAGUUAAAAAAAAUGACCAGGAGGGAUGGCAGGUCUGAAGGCUACAGGAACAGGAUGUGUAAUGUAAGCAGUACUCCGAGAGUAUGUGUUCCUGGUGGUAUCAUGUCUCCUAGCCAAUCACUUUCCCCGGCUGUAUGUGAGGUGUAGGUAGUCUUGAAAAUCUUGUUUAAUCCUUCCAGCUCAGGGAUUUGACAUUUCCAAAUGCUUGGACCACGGCCCACAUGCCUCUGUCAACAUAGACUACUGGCUUUGAAUUCUGCUUUUAUUUUUUAUUUAUUUUUUUUUUAGAUAUUCCAAGGAUUCCAUAAAUCAAGAAAAAAUUAUCUCAAAAUAAAGUGUUCAACACGUCUCUACGUGAACCGGGCAUACAAGCCAGGUGUACAGUGUGCUGCAGAAUGAUGGAGUGAGCUGUAAAAGUCUCCCCUGGGGACUUAUCAUUUAUUAUCUGUUAUCAUCAGAUAAAGGGGGGAAACGUGAUAAGAAUAACAGAACCCAGAUGUGAAGAACAUAUAUGCCAAGUAAAAAAUUUUAAGCAUGUGUAUUGUAGAUUUGGGGUUCCGAAGAUUAUAUUUAUUGAUGAUGAUCCUGAAUUAAAUAUGGAGGAAUUCUCAGAAGCCGUAUAAGAGCGAAGACUUAAUAUUCUGUGUGUGAAGUGUCGGCUGGAAUCUGUGUCUAGACUUAGCAGUCUCCAAGCUUGUUGUUAUCAGCAACAACUCAGGUUCACGGAGCGUUAGAAGUUUACAAAAGAAAGUACAAGUGAGAGCUAAGUGGGUUUUCCAAAAAGUUUAAAUAUUGUGUCUCUGUCUGGGCUGUGCACAUGAAUCCCGAUGGCCACAGAGGUCAGAAAAGGUUAUUGGAUCCCCUUCAUCUGGACUUACAGGCACCUGAGAUGGGUGCUCAGAAUUGAACUCAGGUCCUCUACGAGAAUGGUACAUCACUGGGCCAUGUCUCCAGCUCCUUAACUAGGUUUUUUGUUUGUUUGAUUUUUUUUGUUUCCACGUUCUUAUUACAACUCUGCUUCUCCUUUUUACUACUUUUAAAACUUCCUUGUAGAAUUAUUUAAUAUGUAUCAUGCCCAGAGGUAACAAGAGUCAUGGAAGUGGAGGAUGAGGGUUUUACUUACCCCAACCUUUUAUACAAAUAACAGUGUCUAGUGUGCAUCUAAGGCUUGUUGAGUAAAUGAAGCAGUAAACAAUGACAGUGGCAUUCAAAGGAGGAGUUACGGUGUGUGCUCAUCAUUUUAAGAGGUACCUCUUUGUUCAAGAACAAUGUUAUGUGAAAGAGAAUAUUCUGGACUUUUGAAGUGACCCAAAGCUACUUACUACCGUUAAACAAAAUUAAGCUCUGGUAAGUUGUGUUGUCAUUUUCAUUCAGUCCCAGGAAUUCCUUAGUUUCCUUCUCGAUGUCUUUCUUAGCUUAGCUCUUACUCAGUGGUGUGUCGCUUCAUUUCUAUGAAUUUUUGUGUUUUAUGUAGUUUCUAUUGUUGUUGAUAACCACCUUUAUUCUAUUAUAGUCGGAUGGUAUGCAGGAUGUUAUUCCAAUUCUUCUGUCCUUGUUUUGACUUGUUUUUUUAAUGUUCUACUAUGUGAUCUGUUUCGAAGACGGUUCCAUCAGCUGCUGAGGACAGGGUAUAGUUUCCAGAGUUCGGG
rnacentral:lncRNA from 1 species